rnacentral:rRNA from 1 species
AGCGAACGCUGGCGGCAUGCCUAACACAUGCAAGUCGAACGAGACCUUCGGGUCUAGUGGCGCACGGGUGCGUAACGCGUGGGAACCUGCCCUUAGGUUCGGAAUAACUCCCCGAAAGGGGUGCUAAUACCGGAUAAUGUCUUCGGACCAAAGAUUUAUCGCCUUUGGAUGGGCCCGCGUUGGAUUAGCUAGUUGGUAGGGUAAAAGCCUACCAAGGCGACGAUCCAUAGCUGGUCUGAGAGGAUGAUCAGCCACACUGGGACUGAGACAUGGCCCAGACUCCUACGGGAGGCAGCAGUGGGGAAUAUUGGACAAUGGGCGAAAGCCUGAUCCAGCAAUGCCGCGUGAGUGAUGAAGGCCUUAGGGUUGUAAAGCUCUUUUACCCGGGAUGAUAAUGACAGUACCGGGAGAAUAAGCUCCGGCUAACUCCGUG